GAGUGAGAAGCAAACAUUGCAAUCAGUUUCGACCUGAUCUUAGAUAAGUAACUAUCCACACUCU
rnacentral:tRNA from 1 species